rnacentral:rRNA from 1 species
GACGAACGCUGGCGGCGUGCUUAAUACAUGCAAGUCGAACGGAAAGGCCCUGCUUUUGUGGGGUGCUCGAGUGGCGAACGGGUGAGUAACACGUGAGUAACCUGCCCUUGACUUUGGGAUAACUUCAGGAAACUGGGGCUAAUACCGGAUAGGAGCUCCUGCUGCAUGGUGGGGGUUGGAAAGUUUCGGCGGUUGGGGAUGGACUCGCGGCUUAUCAGCUUGUUGGUGGGGUAGUGGCUUACCAAGGCUUUGACGGGUAGCCGGCCUGAGAGGGUGACCGGCCACAUUGGGCCUGAGAUACGGCCCAGACUCCUACGGGAGGCAGCAGUGGGGAAUAUUGCACAAUGGGCGGAAGCCUGAUGCAGCAACGCCGCGUGCGGGAUGACGGCCUUCGGGUUGUAAACCGCUUUCGCCUGUGACGAAGCGUGAGUGACGGUAAUGGGUAAAGAAGCACCGGCUAACUACGUG